CGCAAUGGGCGAAAGCCUGACGGAGCAAUACCGCGUGAGGGAGGAAGGCUCUUGGGUCGUAAACCUCUUUUCUCAAGGAAGAAGAAAGUGACGGUACUUGAGGAAUAAGCAUCGGCUAACUCCGUGCCAGCAGCCGCGGUAAUACGGAGGAUGCAAGCGUUAUCCGGAAUGAUUGGGCGUAAAGGGUCUGCAGGUGGAACUGAAAGUCUGCUGUUAAAGAGUUUGGCUUAACCAAAUAAAAGCGGUGGAAACUACAGAACUAGAGUGCGGUAGGGGCAAAACGAAUUCCUGG
rnacentral:rRNA from 1 species